GACGAACGCUGGCGGCGUGCCUAAUACAUGCAAGUCGAGCGCAGGAAACUGACGGAACUCUUCGGAGGGAAGGCAGCGGAAUGAGCGGCGGACGGGUGAGUAACACGUAAGGAACCUGCCUCAAGGAUUGGGAUAACUCCGAGAAAUCGGAGCUAAUACCGGAUAGUUCAACGGACCGCAUGGUCCGUUGAUGAAAGGCGCUCCGGCGUCACCUUGAGAUGGCCUUGCGGUGCAUUAGCUAGUUGGUGAGGUAACGGCUCACCAAGGCGACGAUGCAUAGCCGACCUGAGAGGGUGAUCGGCCACACUGGGACUGAGACACGGCCCAGACUCCUACGGGAGGCAGCAGUAGGGAAUCUUCCACAAUGGACGAAAGUCUGAUGGAGCAACGCCGCGUGAGUGAUGAAGGUUUUCGGAUCGUAAAACUCUGUUGUAAGGGAAGAACACGUACGAGAGGGAAUGCUCGUACCUUGACGGUACCUUACGAGAAAGCCACGGCUAACUACGUGCCAGCAGCCGCCGUAA
rnacentral:rRNA from 1 species